UCACCCUGCAGCUCGGCUGGGCCAGCCCCGCCUCUGCGCUGCUGUGCCCCCCCCGCCCCCGCCCCGGGAUUCCGUUCCCCCGGCGGUGCGCUGGCUGCUGCUCUGGGCCUGGCGUGCACAGGGGUGUGCAAAGGAUAUAGCUUCCUUCAAUAUCUCUGAAGCAGAGCUGAAAUCUGCCUGCAGAGAACAUCAGGUGGAAGAUGUUUGGAGGUAUAUACAACACAAAGACACAGGAACUUUAUCUUCUUUUUUAGCUGCUCUGAAGUGAUUGCUGGGAUUUAUGAUCUCUCUUUAAAAGGACUCCUUGGAGCUACCUAGUUGCAGAUCAGAUAAAAUAUAUACCAUUCCCUGA